GAUGAACGCUGGCGGCGUGCCUAAUACAUGCAAGUCGAGCGAACAGACGAGGAGCUUGCUCCUCUGACGUUGGCGGCGGACGGGUGAGUAACACGUGGAUAACCUACCUAUAAGACUGGGAUAACUUCGGGAAACCGGAGCUAAUACCGGAUAAUAUAUUGAACCGCAUGGUUCAAUAGUGAAAGACGGUUUUGCUGUCACUUAUAGAUGGAUCCGCGCCGCAUUAGCUAGUUGGUAAGGUAACGGCUUACCAAGGCAACGAUGCGUAGCCGACCUGAGAGGGUGAUCGGCCACACUGGAACUGAGACACGGUCCAGACUCCUACGGGAGGCAGCAGUAGGGAAUCUUCCGCAAUGGGCGAAAGCCUGACGGAGCAACGCCGCGUGAGUGACGAAGGUCUUCGGAUCGUAAAACUCUGUUAUUAGGGAAGAACAAAUGUGUAAGUAACUAUGCACGUCUUGACGGUACCUAAUCAGAAAGCCACGGCUAACUACGUG
rnacentral:rRNA from 1 species